rnacentral:lncRNA from 1 species
GCACCUAUAUGAGGCAAUCUCACUCAACCCUGUGAUUUCUCUAGGGAAAAUAAUGUGUGGUCUCUAACUUCUUACUUAUGUGCAGGGUCAACCAUGUUCGACAGUUCCACCUGUCUCUUCUCACUCCAAGAAAUCCAAAAAACAUAAACGUUCUGCUGCCACAGGACCUGAGGUAUUUCUUGUCGACUUGUCCGAUCUUCUGACUAGAAUAUCUGCUUAUAACCUCUCUUCAUGUCUUCAGUCGAC